rnacentral:rRNA from 1 species
UCGUACGAUGAAGCCGCUUCGGUGGUGGAUUAGUGGCGAACGGGUGAGUAACACGUGGGCAAUCUGCCCUUCACUCUGGGACAAGCCCUGGAAACGGGGUCUAAUACCGGAUAACACUCUGUCCCGCAUGGGACGGGGUUAAAAGCUCCGGCGGUGAAGGAUGAGCCCGCGGCCUAUCAGCUUGUUGGUGGGGUAAUGGCCUACCAAGGCGACGACGGGUAGCCGGCCUGAGAGGGCGACCGGCCACACUGGGACUGAGACACGGCCCAGACUCCUACGGGAGGCAGCAGUGGGGAAUAUUGCACAAUGGGCGAAAGCCUGAUGCAGCGACGCCGCGUGAGGGAUGACGGCCUUCGGGUUGUAAAC